UACGUAGGGGGCAAGCGUUGUCCGGAUUUAUUGGGCGUAAAGAGCUCGUAGGUGGUUCGGUAAGUCGGAUGUGAAAUCUCCAGGCUCAACCUGGAGGGGUCAUUCGAUACUGCCGUGACUAGAGUUCGGUAGGGGAGUGUGGAAUUCCUGGUGGAGCGGUGAAAUGCGCAGAUAUCAGGAGGAACACCAGUGGCGAAGGCGGUGCUCUGGGCCGGAACUGACGCUGAGGAGCGAAAGCGUGGGGAGCAAACAGG
rnacentral:rRNA from 1 species